ensembl:misc_RNA 7SK 7SK RNA
GGAUGUGAGGGAGAUCUGUCUGCGACAUCUGUCACCCCAUUGAUCGCCAGGGUUGAUUAGGCUGAUCUGACUGGCUAGGCGGUGUCCCCUUCCUCCCUCACUGCUCCAUGUCCCUCCUGAAGCUCCAUGCUCCAUCGAAGAGGACAGCUUUUCCCGAAUAGAGACAGACUGGACUGUGGUGGAGGGUAUAUGAGUAGCUGUGCUCCCCUGCUAGAACUUCCAAACAAGCUCUCAAGAAAUAAAAGAAUGAAUGAAUGAAUAAACAAACAGACAGACAGACAGAUAGAUAAGUAAGUAAGUAAAU